CAGUCGCCGCGGGAAUACGAAGGGUGCAAGCGUUAAUCGGAAUUACUGGGCGUAAAGCGUGCGUAGGCGGUUUCUUAAGUCUGCUGUGAAAUCCCCGGGCUCAACCUGGGAAUGGCAGUGGAUACUGGGAAGCUAGAGUGUGUCAGAGGAUGGUGGAAUUCCCGGUGUAGCGGUGAAAUGCAUAGAGAUCGGGAGGAACAUCAGUGGCGAAGGCGGCCAUCUGGGACAACACUGACGCUGAGGCACGAAAGCGUGGGGAGCAAACAGGAUUAGAUACCCCCGUAGUCCCUGUCUCUUAUAC
rnacentral:rRNA from 1 species